rnacentral:rRNA from 1 species
UACAGAGGGGGCAAGCGUUGUUCGGAAUUACUGGGCGUAAAGGGCGCGUAGGCGGCCUUCUAAGUCGAACGUGAAAUCCCCGGGCUCAACCCGGGAACUGCGUCCGAUACUGGAAGGCUUGAAUCCGGGAGAGGGAUGUGGAAUUCCAGGUGUAGCGGUGAAAUGCGUAGAUAUCUGGAGGAACACCGGUGGCGAAGGCGACAUCCUGGACCGGUAUUGACGCUGAGGCACGAAGGUCAGGGGAGCAAACGGG